UAGAGGAAGAACUUGAUAGAUGGCAGACAGGGGGAUGAUCCCGUCAAACGAUUCAAUCGGCUGACAGUUUAAAUAUUUGCGAAAAUGAAAAAAAAAAGUGUAAAACAUAUAAAAGCUCAGAGGGGAUGUUACCGGAAGGUGAUUAAAUUACUUACUCAUACUCUCGUUAAAACAAUGUCAGCCGGUACGGCAAGGUAGCAACUUCCAUGGCAACGGUAUUCAGGUGGAAAGAGCUUCUCCCUUGUUAGCAUUUAAUUGAGAACUUUGCGAGAUGUAGGUCUGCACGUAACGACCGACCGACCGACGGCCUUGUUUAAAUAUUUUAAUAAUCUCUUGUAUUUUGUAUAGGAAUUGAAAUAUUCGAGCGCUCUGAAUCCAGAAGGAGCGAAGCAACCUGCCAAACCUGUAAUUCGCACCCACACCUAUCUUCGUUCUAACCCUAUCCACCCUUAGUAUGUACUCUCUCAGUUACUCGCUUACUCGUUAACCAGUCUCAGGCCCUCUAUCUCUUAUCUCGCGACAACGCGAUAAAAGCGUUACACAGAUUGCUCGGAUGCGAACGUGGCUUAAGGUUUCUUGCUAGGAGACGCCCCAGGGUGAUGCAACCGCAGUGGCAGCUGCAGCUGCAACGGACUCGCAAAACUUCUCUGCCUGGAGAAAUACACACAGUUAAGCACUAGGGGAAUCGUAGAGUAAGUAAAUGAGAAAUAAGGAUCCCAUGAGAGAGAGGGAGAGAGAGAGAGAGAGAGAGAAGGAGAGGAAAUUACUAAGGUAAAGCUGUAUUAGGUACAGAAUAGAAAAUUUGUAAAAUUUAAUUUAAAAUCAAUUUUCAGAUGCCUAUUGAUAGUUAACAAGAGAUAUUGAACGAUGAAAAAUUGAUCAGGACCAUCUAACAAUUUUCAGAAGCUUAUACCAAGGAUCUUUUAUGAUGAUAACAAGAGCAGCUGCAUUGCGACUGCGGUGUGUCAGCCAUCUCCGCACAGGAUUGCGGCUUGGACUACAUGUUUAUAUAACGUCCACGAGUGUACACUGUACAGUAGCUACUCUGCCUGUUUGGUGUUUGCAGUUACUCAGUGCAAGAGACUGUAUUGUGUAAGGGGAAGACACUUAAUGAAUGCCGGCACGUGGCUACACAUUACCAUCCCCCGUGAUGAUCAUUUGACGCAAAGUGCAUUGGAAUGAAUUGAGACACGCCCUAUGCAAAAAAUUGUUCUAAUUAUACAUAGGUCAUUUUUAAAAAGUUUAGUCAGUAGUAGAGUAAUUGGAUUAUAGCCAGACCGGUAGCAUGGGGUUGGGGGCGUAUUGAGAAAUAUGAAGCAAAGUCAUUUGGGGUGGAGAAGUAAAAUCGGAAAUGAAGGGCGAGAACUUUUUCGUCGAACGUUCUCCUGGAGUGGUCGAUGGGUGGGGGGGUUAAGGGUAGGUGACACGGUUUCACCAUUAUCGGGUGUUUACGAUGAGGGAUGUAGGGGUGUACGACGACGAGGCACGAGGGUCGCAUCGUCGGAGAGCUCACCCGCUCCGCAUAAUAACUAGCUACAACGCAUUUACAUUUUAAUACGACCCACCUACCUCCCACCAACCCUUUCCUGCAAUUCCCUUCGUGUACCUUCGUCUAACUCCGUUGUAUCCUGAAUGAGCUGCUAUCGAUACCUGGGGGAUCUGACCAUUUAGAAUUCCAACACCAUCCGAAACUGUAACCCAUACAGGGUAGUUACAGGGUUCAUUGAACACCCAUCCUGUUCACCAGGUCCAAGAAACCUUCUAGAAGUUGGUACAAAAGAGGCCAAAGAAGUCCAGUCGUUUAACGACGCGCCAUUUUUAUUUUGCCCUCAAUGUCGAAGCUUCGAAGCCAAUCGAUCUAAGAAAUUACUCUACGACCCUUACAGACCCUCAGGAGCCUCCCCUGGGUGCCUCUCGUCAGCUACUGGCCGCUACGAUCCGAAACAAUCGGGCCGCUCCCGACCGUCGGCCAUUCUAUGAUAUAUGACGUCAUUAUAGUAAGACCUUGAGAAACAGAUGGGUUCUACCUUCUUCAUCCAGGACGUCGAGUACACGGAUUUCAUUGAGGACAUCUACGAGGAACGAGUGUACAAAGGAUUUCUGAAUAGUAAAGUAACCAGCUGUAACCGGAAGUGGAAGGUGUAAUCGGAACAUGGAGAACGAGCAACCUGAGAGCCAGUGGGAGAUGUCCAUUAAGAUAGGCCGAUGUGUUUAACGGCGAAUUCAAAUGUCGACGACGAUGUUCCCCAGGGUGAGGCGAGGGUAGGUACUCGACGCCAGAGAGAAAAUAUUGCAAUUGUUUCGGAGGCGUGUUUUAUGGGGUUUUUGUCAGCAAAUAAAAUGCCUACGGUCUGACUAUUUUCCCCACGAUGCCCUACUUCACUUUACCGGGAUUGUAACAUUUACAAAAGAUAUAGAAUACCUAUAAUGUAUAUGCUAUAUAUGACAUAGCUAUAGUCUGUAACGUAGAUAUAUAAUAAGAGUACAGUGUAAGGCUACGCUGUACUAUAUAGUAUAUAAGCCAAUAAGUCCUCUAUACGAUAUAGAAUAUAGUAUAGGUGUACAGGGUAUAUUAUAUUGGUGGGAGGAUCGAGCAUGGACUACAGACUACGUAGAAGGGUCGCUAGAUAUAAUGGUGAUUUAUUAGGUGGGGAAUUCCAAUUCGCCAUUGAUUUACGGCUUUACGGAAUCGCGUAAAUAUCUUCAAUUUCCCACUCCAGGCUGUUCGACUUAAAUGGAAUUCGCGAAUCAUUGAGACACUUGACACUCCAGACACGAAGAUCCACGUUAGAGCCUGAAUCUUGUCGACGAAGCCAUUUUCGAGUCCUCAAUCGAGUAUUUAUCAAAGUUCCAGCCCCAGUCGCUGGAGCCCCAUUCUUUUACGUCCUAUGCUAAUUAUCCGCACCAUCGACUUCAGGAAUGUCCUCCUUCACUUGCCAGGACGAAAUUACUCCAGGAUGACUAGUGGAUGUCAAACUACCCUUCCUGUACUAUGGAUACCCUAUAUUGGUAAGGAUCUCGCGCAGACUGGGCAAUGUUCCUGGCAACCAUAAGUAAGCAACGGCAACUGGGAGACGAGACGCUCUCCUUCAUGAAAAUAUUAGUCUGACAACUGUGAGUUAUGCCCGGGCAAGGUAUUAUUCCGAACAAGGGAUGGCAUGGCCGCUAUCUGAUUCUGUUAUCUCGGCGCCGUAUGCUAUUCUGGCUCCGUGGCGAAAUAAACGGCCCGUAGAAUACUUAUUCUUGAGAAUAGCAAGCCAGUAGAGGAUAUCCUGGGUCCCGUUCAUCAGGUCCAUCAAGGAGUCCAAAUUGGAAUUUUGGAUUCCUAGGUUUACCCUGUUACCCUUAAGCUUCUUACUACUGUCCUUGGUCCAAUUGUGGUACGACCUUAUUUGGGAUAAUAAAAAAGGAUGACUGUGCCGAAGACUAAGGGGUGAAUUGUCCCCGUCCUAUUGGGUAUGGUAGCACGUGCACAUAACUCAAGCUAGGAUCAAGGAAGAGGACCCACCCAGGAGUCUGCUUAAUACCCACAAAUUAUAAAUAAUGAUGCAACGAGGAAUAGCACUGCCACAAAUCAACGUUUACCGUAAUUCCUUUGCCUCUUACGCUCCUGGGAUUAAGCGGUUCUCGCAGUCUGCUGAAAAGAAAGUAAAAUGAGUAAAAAUGGGAUAUUCAAAGUCCAAAAUGGCCAUCGUUAAUGUCCCGGAGUCGAAAAGGAUUUCUGAUGGCUGCGGCAAGUCUUCGCCAAGGAGAUAACGGAAGGAAAAGUCCGAAAAUGACAUCGAAUGUUCUUGCGAUGCCUUUUUACGAUAACGAAUGUCUCCAGAAGACCUCGGCGAGGUCGACCCCGUCUUCCACGUCCCGCCAGUGGUCGUAGACGUUGCUAAGUUUUCCCAAAGUGGAGAACAAGGCCGUCAAACAGAUUGAAAUCAACGGACGGAGCGAGCAACUUCUUCUUCCUUUGGGAGAGGACGGAGCCAGAUCUGAAAUGAAAAUCUGCGGGCAAGGAGGGCCUGGAGAAUUGCUCGAGGAAAGCUAUUGUUCGUAGGCCGAAGAAGAAGCUGAGUCUCGAAGGAAUGAACGGAACAAGGAAAGAAUAAUUCCACAGAAGAGGGUUUCAGUCCCAUUUUCUGGAGUUCAAUCUAUUAGCAUCUUCGCUUCGCUGUUUCUACCCUUAGAAAGGAGCCUUUAAAAGGCCAUCAUCAGAGAAAGCAAUUCAAGAAAAAGAAAUUCAAUCAUUCACCAUCAAUUUCGCGAUUUCUCCACGUGGCUGAUACCAAUCCCAUUCAUGCGGUCGCUAUGUGUUCACUGGGAGAUUACUGCAGUGAGAAAUAUAUAAUAGAGACGGUGACAUGGCGAGGCGAUAAAGCGUAAUGCCAACCUAGGAAGAGGAGAGGUCGGCUGUUGGCCAGGAACGCGCUGGAUGUAGUCUAGGUGCAGUGGACUAGCAGACUAGGAGUCGAGCAACGGAGCAGGUGAGCCUAGCUGGUACGCGCGACUGGGGAAAGCCCUGACAUGGUUCCACCAUUAACCACGGCCACGGGGCUCACCCUGAGCUAUAGUCAGGACUUUCGGGGUGAGUCUAGAGAGCCUGAUGUCAGGGUAUACAGAUGCUAGGAGAGAAUGAUGGAGAAAAGGGAAAGGUAACAGGAUCCCUCCUGCCCCCCUCUCUAUGUAUCCUCCAUAUGCACUGUAUAUACAUAUUUAUUGUCCAGCUAUCAGAGGCUACACAAGGUACACACACCAUACAUGCAGUUAUAGUACAUAUAACGCAUCGGGGAUAGAAGUGUCUACCGUUGUUAACGGGAAAAUCCCAGCUCAGCCUCGGAUGGUCCUGCGCACGUCCUCUUCCUCCAGGAUAGAAAAAUCUCUCGUGUGGAAUGGGAAACGGCCUAACCUUCUAUUUGCCGCGUGUCCUUGCUAUAGAUGGAAAAGAAAUCAGAUAUAGGAAAGCCCUCUGGUCGACCCCCUGGCCCCCUCCAUCCCAGGGUUUAACAUAAUCGAAUAACAAAUAGCACGGAGAUGUGCAUCUGCUCCGAGGAGAGAGAACAAAAGAGAAAGAGAGAAUUCAGCCGGCGAUGCCUACGUGAGUGUACUCCGGGACUCGCUCACUUUCACUCGGAAUUGAAGAACUGAAGAAGAGAGUGCAGCAGUGAGUACCGUAGAAUCGAAGAAAUGCUAAGAGCUGGAAGGAGUAUGCGAAGGAACGCGACAUUCGAGAAAAUUGGCAAGGAAAUACGUUUCUCCCAGUGAUAUUACACGCUUCUACGGAAUCCACGUCCGAGACUGAGAAUGGACUCUCGUGAGGCUGAUAUAUAUAUUUAUACCUACGUCAUAUAUUACACCUACGACUUAUCUGUGAGAAGGAGAGACAAAGAGAGAGACUCAGCAUGCUCCUGGCGACAUACUACUAUCUAUGAAGCAGGAAGAGCGAUUCUCUCUCUCACUCUACAUAGCUUGAAUCCUCAAUAGAGAAGUGGAUGGGGAUGCUGAAGGGUAGGCAAGGGAAAUGGUUGUCGGUGCUGGGAACUCCGAUACGAAGAUUGGGUUAAAUGGCGUGGGAUAACCCCUCGUUACGCAUUCAUAGAAACUCUUCCACGACUGCGGCUACCUAACUUGACGCCGUAUGUAUAUGCUAUAUAUAUAUAUAGCAUACGUAUAUAUAAUUCCGACAGAGUUGGCCAGCGCAAUGGAAAAUAUUGCGCGCAAGGCUAUAGAUGUUAUUUUCCCCUUGAAAUUAUUAUCAUUCUCCAGCGCGAUGACCUCAUUCAGGGUAUCAGGAGUACGAGCGAGACGAAAGGAAGGUGCAGGCGCCAAGCGUAAUCGGUUCGAGUAGAAGUAAAUGGCAAUUGAGGCAACCGACGGUGGAUAAUAAACGGGCCUCGGUCUAAAUGUGGGACGAUCCCCAGGGCGUUCUUGGAAAAUUAAAAAAAAAGGAGCCUCACUGAGCGACGCUCGGUCCUGUACAGGGUACACCGUGGAAGAAGAACGAGGAACAUGAGGAUGACCAGACGGGAAGUUGGAGGGACGCAGAGAAGGACCAAGGGGAAUGAAGUGGGGGCGGGGAAAGGAUGAGGUCGCGUCUCGUUAAUUGAACGGAGGGUGCGAUGCCGCGAACGGCAAGGAUUCUCAGCAAACCAAGGGUAAAAUGAAGGCGAGUCCUCGACCACAGAAUUGCCUCAAUCUCGUCGACCUGAAAUGCGAGGUCCUGUUGUUCCCGAUGUUACGGGACAUCGAGGACGACCGUCCCCCCUUCAACGAUCAGCGUCGACCCACUCUCCAACCCUCAUCUGCACUUCUCCAUUGCGUUCUGGGAGCCAGAGGAAUUUUUAUUGUCAUUUCGUACCACAAUCCUUUUCAUUAGAAUUUACUUGUAUGUAUACACAGAAUGGGCUAUUUUAUAUAUGUAUAUAUAUAUAUAUUUGUGAAGUGUGAUUUUUCGACUCACGGCCGCAAAGCGACUCCAGCUACCGAUUUAGAUAGUCUAGAUGUACCGAGUUUUUCGGCAGAGGAGAGGACCCGACGGAGACGUCUCCGCGGACCGACGCCCCGCUGACGAUAGGCACAAAGGGCUGUAGAGCGGGAGGAGAUAUAGUCUUGUUACGGUUAAGGGCCGGGGAGAAACACCCUGACCCAAGUUCAGGAUGUUGAAGGAGCCGUGGAGGAUCUCCAAGAGUUACGGACCGAUUCGCUAAGGAAUGCUCUCGAUUUAGUUUAAAGGGACGAUUCGAGGGAGAGGGUAAGGGUUUACACGCUAUAAGGAUUUCGACCAAUCAAAAUGUUUAGUUCUCAAAUUUGACUAUUGUCAAGCUGGUUCGCGCUCCCGGACUAUUUGUUUAUAGUUUUUAUAACUCUGUUUCCUAUACGGUACAGGUGGAUCUCGAAAUAUCCAGAAAAUUCUAUAGAUUCUCUGAGUGUGUUCCGGAGGUGUAGUGUUGUGCCCACGUGAGUGUCCUCUGGAUACGGUUCUCGGCCUUUUCGGAUUAGCUGCACCAGCUCCGGUGAGUACUCCGAAUAUAUUAAUUGGUGAAGGGAUUUCGAUUUGAUAAUUCCGUUACGUUCUCUAUCCGUUGCCCUCUGUUUUCGGCACUAUUUACCUAACGCUUACUCCGACCUUCUCUACCUCAGCCCUUGCAGCCUGAGCGGCCGUGCAUUUCCGUAACCGUUCAUUCCAAUUCGUGCAUCCAGUCGAGUUUGCUGAUUUCGCGCGUCCCCAAAAAUCGACACGACCCGUUAAGCUACCGUCUCUUCUGCUAGGUUUCAUCGGAGCUCUCGUUUUGCCGGAGUUGAGACUGUUCCACCUGAACUCCCAGGUCAUACCGGCUCGUCAGUUCCCGGUUGAAACAAAAAUUGGCUGGUGCCCGUCUGGCAUGCGGAUGCGUGGACGAAGGGUGGACGGUCGAAGGUGACGUAGGUUACCUCUCGGAUUUUCGGUAUCGGUGUAAAGUUGCGAAAAUACGUUACGAUGUAUAUAAAAGUUUUCUUAUAAAGUUUAAAUAUUUAAGCCACUCAGAAGGGCGGCGACCAAUUUGUUCCCAGUCGUUCCCAUUGUGCUUGCUUUGAAUCUUCCGUACCAGUGACGUCACCGGAGUGCACAAGACCGAAAGUACAUCAACCACUGACUCCGUCUCGUCUAUUAUCCCUAUUCCAGUACUACUGAUAUGUACUAGUUCCAGUUGUAUGGUGGCAACGUAGUACUACCGCGAAAGGUCCAAGCAGUUCCACGUGAACGUACUCGUAACCUGCAGAUAGAAUCCCCAGUAUCGAGGUUCGCUAGAACGAACACGUAGAUAGUCAUCCGGGUAUUUCUCGAGAAACUAAAGUAAUUUCACGGAACCGCUAAACGUAAACAGCCGUUAGGAGGGUUUGCCCGUAGCGAGUGUACGAGACAUUUUCGAGGCUGACGCCGACGUCCUAACACUGCAAAGGGACAAAAGGGUCCGAGGAAACCUUUGGGUUUCCCUUUAUCGUAUAUUUGAGGGAGAAAAUGGCCACGUGUAUAAGUCGUUAACAGCAAGAGACUAGGUACUUCAAUACCUUCCCCUGCCUCCUAUGUUUCGCCCUUCAUUCUUACUCCCACCGAAAUCCACCUUCUUCGUUACACACUCACCCUUAUACUUAACCUUUGACCUCGCGCUGCAGCACGUGCCCACGAAUCAGCCCUACGUAAUUUUUAGUUUCAUUAGAGCUCAGCGUGGAAAUAUCACGAUUUUCAGUAAGCCGGAAAUAUGACGGCUAAGGCUGGUAAGUGGAGGAGUCGGAGGAGAAGGUAGUAAGCGAAAAGUCAAGAAAUAAGAAAAAGUCGAUAUUUCCGAGAACUUAAAAAUUAACGAUACUUUUUCGAGAACCUUUGGCAUUCUCGGCACAGGGAAAUGGAUUUCACGGUAUCGUAAUCCUAUUAUACCCCCCGGCUCCCGCCAGCGUCCCCUUGGACCAAUACCUUUCUAUAUUAAUAAUAACAAUAAUCAAAUCGAAAACGAACAUUUUCAAUCUAACCUCAGAACUCGGAAUUCUUAAUACUUUUUGUCGAUUACUCAAGCUCUUCAUUGGUUUAGCAACCUUUUAUUUAGCUUCCUAGAGUAUUUCCCUUAAUACGAUCAGAAUGAUGGUAAAAGAUCUCAUCCCAAGGGUGGCGGUAUAUCCGACAAUGGAUAUUACGAUUGCUGGAACACGGUAGAGGCGCAUAAAGGAAUGAUAGUUAUUUUUAUGAAUAGGCAGGGAAUAUAAAAGUAAUAAGGAAAAGAGCAAUGGAGAGAGAAACCCUUAAUCUCAACUAAUUUCCAAGUAAUAACGAUCCAAUGGGUGUCUUUAGUAUUUUGAUGAUUGAGGGGCUGCAGGGAGAAAUCCUGUUUCCUGGUUCCUGGCCUCGUUGCUUGAUUCUACUCCAGGUUUCCCCAAGUCGAUAUCCCAGCUCCCUCGUAGUAGUCCCUCGUUAAUUACUAAGGGCUGGGUAAUGAGUUUUAUUUUUAAGAGGGAGCACAGUGUCUUUGAAGCGUCUCAAAAUUCAGUCCAGAUUCUCAAGGCAGUAAACAGGUUGUUUAGGUUGGGAUAAGAAGACAGAUAUGGAUAUAUAGAGGCGGAAUCCAGUAUCCCGGGGGGAAGAAAAUAUAAUGGACCAUAACUCAAAGUCGCGCCACUCAUUCAAAGACGUUGUAUUUUGUCAGCAUCCUAAAACCCUUUACAUUAAAAAGCAUAGAACGACGGGUACCCUCUACCCCGCUUUGUUCGUGACAAGCGACGAGAUGGGAGAAAAAUGUACGAUAUCGUUUCGAAUAAAAGGGAUCUGUUUUUUUUUUUAAAUCCAAUUUACAAGUAUUUACUCUCCAUAUUGUCACUGUAUAUUUAUGUCCGGGACUGUAUUAUAAUUUAUUAAUGUACAUGGAGAAAGUUUAAUGA